rnacentral:rRNA from 1 species
GGUUCGAUUAUGGCUCAGAUUGAACGCUGGCGGGAUGCCCCACACAUGCAAGUCGAACGGCAGCACGGACUUCGGUCUGGUGGCGAGUGGCGAACGGGUGAGUAAUGUAUCGGGACGUGCCUAGUAGCGGGGGAUAACUACGCGAAAGCGUAGCUAAUACCGUAUACGCCUUUCAAAGGGAAAGCGGGGGGACCUUCGGGCCUCGCACUAUUAGAGCGGCCGAUAUCGGAUUAGCUAGUUGGUGGGGUAACGGCUCGCAAGGCGACGAUCCGUAGCUGGUUUGAGAGGACGACCAGCCACACUGGGACUGAGACACGGCCCAGACUCCUACGGGAGGCAGCAGUGGGGAAUUUUGGACAAUGGGGGAAACCCUGAUCCAGCCAUCCGCGUGUGCGAUGAAGGCCUUCAGGUUGUAAAGCACUUUUGGCAGGAAAGAAACGGCACGGGAUAAUACCCCGUGCAACUGACAGUACCUGCAGAAUAAGCACCGGCUAACUACGUGCCAGCAGCCGCGGUAAUACGUAGGGUGCAAGCGUUAAUCGGAAUUACUGGGCGUAAAGCGUGCGCAGGCGGUUCGGAAAGAAAGAUGUGAACUCCCAGGCUUAACUUUGGAACUGCAUUUUUAACUACCGAGCUAGAGUGUGUCAGAGGAGGUGGAAUUCCGCGUGUAGCAGUGAAAUGCGUAGAUAUGCGGAGGAACACCGAUGGCGAAGGCAGCCUCCUGGGAUAACACUGACGCUCAUGCACGAAAGCGUGGGGGCAAACGAGUUAGAUACCCUGGUAGUCCACGCCCUAAACGAUGUCAACUAGCUGUUGGGGCCUUCGGGCCUUGGUAGCGCAGCUAACGCGUGAAGUUGACCGCCUGCAAGGAGCCACGAUUCGCAAGAUUAAAACUCAAAGGAAUUGACGGGGACCCGCACAAGCGGUGGAUGAUGUGGACUAAUUCAUUGCAACGCGAAAAACCUUACCUACCCUUGACAUGUCUGGAAUCCCGAAGAGAUUUGGGAGUGCUCGCAAAGAGAACCGGAACACAGGUGCUGCAUGGCUGUCGUCAGCUCGUGUCGUGAGAUGUUGGGUUAAGUCCGCAACGAGCGCAACCCUUGUCAUUAGUUGCUGCGAAGGGCACUCUAAUGAGACUGCCGGUGACAAACCGGAGGAAGGUGGGGAUGACGUCAAGUCCUCAUGGCCCUUAUGGGUAGGGCUUCACACGUCAUACAAUGGUCGGGACAGAGGGUCGCCAACCCGCGAGGGGAGCCAAUCCCAGAAACCCGAUCGUAGUCCGGAUCGCAGUCUGCAACUCGACUGCGUGAAGUCGGAAUCGCUAGUAAUCGCGGAUCAGCAUGUCGCGGUGAAUACGUUCCCGGGUCUUGCUUACACCGCCCGUCACACCAUGGGAGUGGGUUUUACCAAGUAGUUAGCCUAACC